UGGGGAAUAUUGCACAAUGGGGGAAACCCUGAUGCAGCGACGCCGCGUGAACGAAGAAGGUAUUCGUAUCGUAAAGUUCUGUCCUAUGGGAAGAUAAUGACAGUACCAUAGAAGAAAGCUCCGGCUUAAUACGUGCCAGCAGCCGCGGUAAUACGUAUGGAGCGAGCGUUGUCCGGAAUUAUUGGGCGUAAAGGGUACGCAGGCGGUUUAAUAAGUCGAAUGUUAAAGAUCGGGGCUCAACCCCGUAAAGCAUUGGAAACUGAUAAACUUGAGUAGUGGAGAGGAAAGUGGAAUUCCUAGUGUAGUGGUGAAAUACGUAGAUAUUAGGAGGAAUACCAGUAGCGAAGGCGACUUUCUGGACACAAACUGACGCUGAGGUACGAAAGCGUGGGGAGCAAACAGG
rnacentral:rRNA from 1 species